rnacentral:rRNA from 1 species
GACGAACGCUGGCGGCGUGCUUAACACAUGCAAGUCGAACGAUGAAGCCGGAGCUUGCUCUGGUGAAUUAGUGGCGAACGGGUGAGUAAUACGUGAGUAACCUGCCCUUGUCUCUGGGAUAACUGCUAGAAAUGGUAGCUAAUACCGGAUACGACCCUCGGAGGCAUCUCCAGGGGGUGGAAAGAAUUUCGGUCAAGGAUGGACUCGCGGCCUAUCAGCUAGUUGGUGAGGUAACGGCUCACCAAGGCGACGACGGGUAGCCGGCCUGAGAGGGUGACCGGCCACACUGGGACUGAGACACGGCCCAGACUCCUACGGGAGGCAGCAGUGGGGAAUAUUGCACAAUGGGCGCAAGCCUGAUGCAGCAACGCCGCGUGAGGGAUGACGGCCUUCGGGUUGUAAACCUCUUUUAGUAGGGAAGAAGCGAAAGUGACGGUACCUGCAGAAAAAGCACCGGCUAACUACGUGCCAGCCGCCGCGGUAA